rnacentral:rRNA from 1 species
CACGUAGUUGGCCGUCCCUUUCUGGUAAGAUACCGUCACAGUGUGAACUUUCCACUCUCACACUCGUUCUUCUCUUACAACAGAGCUUUACGAUCCGAAAACCUUCUUUACUCACGCGGCGUUGCUCGGUCAGACUUCCGUCCAUUGCCGAAGAUUCCCUACUGCUGCCUCCCGUAGGAGUCUGGGCCGUGUCUCAGUCCCAGUGUGGCCGAUCACCCUCUCAGGUCGGCUAUGUAUCGUCGCCUUGGUGAGCCGUUACCUCACCAACUAGCUAAUACAACGCAGGUCCAUCUGGUAGUGAUGCAAUUGCACCUUUCAAGCAGAUAUCAUGACAAUAUCUACUGUUAUGCGGUAUUAGCUAUCGUUUACCAAUUAGUUACUCCCCCGCUACCAGGCUAGGUUACCUACGCGUUACUCACCCGUUCGCAACUCACUCCGGAGAAGCAAGCUCCUCCUUCAGUCUUCUACUUGACUAUGUAUUAGGCACGCCGCAGCGUUCG